rnacentral:rRNA from 1 species
GAGCGAACGCUGGCGGCAGGCCUAAUACAUGCAAGUCGAACGCACCUUCGGGUGAGUGGCGGACGAGUGAGUAACGCGUGGGAACGUGCCCAAAGGUACGGAACAACUGAGGGAAACUUCAGCUAAUACCGUAUGUGCCCUUCGGGGAAAGAUUUAUCGCCGUUUGGAGCGGCCCGCGUUGGAUUAGCUAGUUGGUGGGGUAAAGGCCCACCAAGGCUACGAUCCAUAGCUGGUCUGAGAGGAUGAUCAGCCACACUGGGACUGAGACACGGCCCAGACUCCUACGGGAGGCAGCAGUAGGGAAUCUUGCGCAAUGGGCGAAAGCCUGACGCAGCCAUGCCGCGUGAA